rnacentral:rRNA from 1 species
GACGAACGCUGGCGGCGUGCUUAACACAUGCAAGUCGAACGGAAAGGCCCUGCUUUUGUGUGGUUCUCGAGUGGCGAACGUGUGUGUAACCCGUGAGUCUCCUUCCCUUGACUUUGGGAUAUCUUCAGGCAACUGCUGCUAAUACCUGCUAGGAGCUCCUGCUGCAUGGUGGGGUUUGGACAGUUUCGGCGGUUGUGGAUGGACUCGGGGCUUAUUAGUUUGUUGGUGGGGUAGUGGCUUACCAAGGCUUCGAAGGGUAGCCGGCCUGGGAGGGUGAACGGGCACAUGGGGACUGAGAGACGGAGCAGACGGGUACAGGAGGCAGUGGGGGGGAGUAUUGCACAGUGAGCGGAAGCGUGAUGAAGAGGCGCCGGGAGUGGGAAGAAGGCCUUGGGGGGGUAAACGGCAUUAACCUGAGACGAAGCGGGAGUGACGGUAAUAGGUAAAGAAGCACCGGCUAACUACGUG